rnacentral:lncRNA from 1 species
UGGGAGAAGGAGAUGUCAUCACAAAGUUAAGACGUGCCGACUAGAAUCCAACGUGAAUAUAAUAUCAAAGAAUUCAAACUAAAGCAAUGGAUACCAAAACACCAAACCAAAGUUUUUUUUUUUUUGAUAAAACGCCAAACCAAAGUUUUGGAUGUAUAAGACAGGCACCUCGGUUUUAGCUCUGGAUUGUAGUGAUAAUCAAUAAUUAACCAAACAGAAAAUAAGCAACAAGCCAACAGGUCCUAUACACAAUGAAGCGAUUUAAACUAUUUACAGUAUAUGAUUAUCUAUUUUAUACCGAUAAUAAUAAAUAUCAGGCAGUAAAAUUAUGACCACACC